UGUUUUUAUGUAAGCCGCCCAGAGUCCUUCGGGAUUGGGCGGCAUACAAAUCCAUUAAAAUUGAAAUUGAAAUAUUGCAGGUGGAUGAUAGAUCAAUUGCUGAACACAAUUAAUUUCUCACCCCCCACCCCCCACCCCACCUCCAUGUAGUGUUUAUGGUGUGCUUGAAUGCUUACGCUAAUGUCAGUGCAAUUUUACAGUGCAUUUCAUUGCAAACUACAGUACUAUGAAAUAAGUCUCAGUGUCAUGUUACUAGGAAAAAUACUGAUGUUUUUGCAUUAGGAAGAUACUGAUUUAGUUAUAAAUUUGAAUGAGAAUCUUAAAACUCUUACAGGAGUCCUCACCAAAUCAAUGGAAGUUGCAAGAAGAAAGAGAUUUCUGUGGCACUUAAUGUAAUUGGGACUGGACAGCAGAAGGAACAUGUUCUAAAAUUUCUGAAAAGCAGAAAGUGAGCAAGAAGACAGAUGAAAUGACAGGAUUCCUGGAUAACUUGACUCUGAGCUCAUCUAAAGGGAGAUCUCAAUCAUGUUCAAGGAGCAGCUGUAGCAGGCGAUCUUCCUCUGUAUCUUCUAGUGAUUCAUCUUACAGUUCUACUUCAAGUAUUUCAUCUUACUCCACAAGCACAAGUAGAUCGAGGAGCAGAUCAAGAGGACAUGCUAAAAGGAUUUGUUCUCGUAGAUCCAGAGGAUACUCAAGAUCUUAUUCCAGGAGUUACUUACGACCACACGAUUACAGAUAUCGGGAAAGAUCCCAUCUUAGAUAUUACAGAAGACAUCCUCACUCAUGUCCAAUAUAUAAAUCAUGGAGCAGACCUCCUAUUAGAUCAUACUAUCACAGGUCUUACUCCAGAAGUAGAUCAAGAAGCCAAGGAUACGGUUUGGAAUAACCGUUUGUCCUGAAGCUUAUAGAAGGUGAAGAAACUCCUCCUGAACAAGAUCUCACAAUAGAACCCCUCUUCGCUUGACAGAAAAAGAAAACAGAACUACUUGAAAUAGCAAAAACUAAUGCAGCUAAAAACUUCGGGAAAGAAAUCAUCCUACCAGCCAGUUUAAAAAUGGAUUCCAAAACCAGUGAAAAUGGAAAGCCAAAAGAGAACUUUGAUUUUAAGAAUAUAAAUGCCCAGGCCGCUGGCCCUGAAAUCAGCAAGUCUGCUUUCUAAAAAUCUGGUAGUAUCCCAAGAAGAGAAGAAAAAGACUCUGUUGGCCAAUGGAUUCCUGUUAAGGAAGAGGAAAAUGUCCUGUUUCAUAAUUUUUUUUACCUAAAAGUACAACUUUCAGAGCAUGCUAGUAGUUCUGUUCUAGUUAAUAGCAUCUAAAAUAUGAAAUCCAAAAUAUCUCAUUUUUGAGAUUUAAAUGUAGGUUUACCUCAUAGAAUGUGUAGGUUUACCACAUAGAAUGUGUUUUGCAGAUAGAAAAUGGAACAGACCCAACGAAUACAGGUAGGAUUUUUUCUGUAAAUUUUGCUUUUUGACUGAAAUGGAUUAUGUCAUGAACAGGAAUAUCUUACUUUGGUGUGAAAUAUAUGUAACAUAAGAACAAAUUAAGGUUUCUUCAUUUUACAAUUUUAAGCACUUUUAAGAGUGAUUUAUGGCUCCUAUUGGUAGUUCAUUUUCCCUGUGUAGAUAAUGUUUCGCUUUAACAAGAAUACUUGUUGCAAUAAGAACAAAGGCGAGAAAAGAUGCAUUAGUGAAGUUCUAGUAUUUGCAUUUUAAUCCUUGCCUGUUAUCAACACUGCAUAAAUUAGUCUUGCACUUUUGUAAGAAACAUUUCUUAUAUGAAAUCUAAAGUUCUUAUUUAGCUGUGAAUAAGCUUGGCACAAACAUUUAAAUAAGUCAUGCUUCAAGCAGAAAAGGCUGGCCGGGCAAAUGUAGGUACUAUGUAAUGUACUAUUGUUUUUACUUAACUUCAUAGCUUGUGUAAAUACUGUGCUAUACCCAAUAUUUUGAACUGUGACAUUAUAAUGAUAUUCAAGAAAAUGGCAUUCAAAAUUAGUGAAGGAUGAAUUUAUAAAAGUUGCAUAUUUUCUUUUCAUAAAAAUCUGUAAUAGUAAAGAAUUUCAAUAAACUUUGAAUAUUCUG